rnacentral:lncRNA from 1 species
CUCGAUGAAUUUUUCUUUAUGGGUAAGGAGAAAUCCUUAGUUAACUUGAAUUUUUCUACUCAAAGCAUCCACUACUAAAUUCGCUUUGCGUGGGUGAUAAUUUAUUCUACAAUCAUAGUCCCUUAUUAAUUCGAGCUAUAUUAUUUGCCUUAUACUUAGAUCUUUAUGCUCGAAUAAGUAUUUUAAACUUUUAUGAGGUGUAUCAAUUCCACAUCUCGUUU